rnacentral:tmRNA from 1 species
GGGGAUGAAAGGAUUUCGACGGGGAUUUUGAACCGUUAUAAGCGAGCAGAGGUGCGGUACCUCUAUAAAAGCCGCAAUUUUAAAAAUAACUGACAAUAAUAAAACAGUUUUAGCAGCUGCUUAAGUCAGCUGCCGUCCUUACUGAGAAUACCGCGACUCAGAUAAGGGCGUCGUUUAGCGGUGCACGUGAACAAAGGAUAGCCUUGUACUUUGUCACGGUUUAAAGGGCUACCGAGGGUUUAAGUCUGUCUUUCGGCGUAAACCUAAGGGAAUUAUAAAAGAUAGACUACGCUCGUAGAAAGUUUCGGGAAUAGGUUUUCGGACGCGGGUUCGACUCCCGCCAUCUCCACCA